rnacentral:rRNA from 1 species
CCCCUAGUAACUGCGAGUGAAGCGGGAAAAGCUCAAAUUUAAAAUCUGGCGGUCUCUGGCCGUCCGAGUUGUAAUCUAGAGAAGUAAUGCCCGUGCUGGACCGUGUAUAAGUCUCCUGGGAUGGGGCGUAAUAGAGGGUGAGAAUCCCGUCUUUGACACGGACUACCAGUGCAUUGUGGUAUGCUCUCAAAGAGUCGAGUUGUUUGGGAAUGCAGCUCAAAAUGGGUGGUAAAUUCCAUCUAAAGCUAAAUAUUGGCGAGAGACCGAUAGCGAACAAGUACCGUGAGGGAAAGAUGAAAAGAACUUUGGAAAGAGAGUUAAACAGUACGUGAAAUUGCUGAAAGGGAAACGCUUGAAGUCAGUCGCGUUGGCCGGGGAUCAGCCUUGCUCUUGCAGGGUGUACUUUCUGGUUGACGGGUCAGCAUCAAUUUUGACCGCUGGAAAAGGGCCUGGGGAAUGUGGCAGCUUCGGCUGUGUUAUAGCCCCUGGUCACAUACGGCGGUCGGGAUUGAGGAACUCAGCACGCCGCAAGGCCGGGUUUCGACCACGUCCGUGCUUAGGAUGCUGGCAUAAUGGCUUUAAGCGACCCGUCUUGAAACACGGACCAAGGAGUCUAACAUGCCUGCGAGUAUUUGGGUGAAAAACUCGAGUGCGCAAUGAAAGUGAAAGUUGAGAUCCCUGUCGUGGGGAGCAUCGACGCCCGGACCAGAACUUUUGGGACGGAUCCGCGGUGGAGCAUGUAUGUUGGGACCCGAAAGAUGGUGAACUAUGCCUGAAUAGGGUGAAGCCAGAGGAAACUCUGGUGGAGCUCG